GGUUAAGUGACUAAGCGUACACGGUGGAUGCCUUGGCAGUCAGAGGCGAUGAAGGACGUAUUAACUUGCGAUAAGCCCAGAUUAGGUAGUAAAAACCAUUUGAGUCUGGGAUUUCCGAAUGGGGAAACCCAAUACCAUAAGGUAUUACUGUUGAGUGAAUACAUAGCUCAACAGGGCGAACCGGGGGAACUGAAACAUCUAAGUACCCCGAGGAAAAGAAAUCAACCGAGAUUCCGAAAGUAGCGGCGAGCGAAAUUGGACUAGCCCUUAAGCUUUACACGCGUUAGACGAACAGCCUGGAAAGGCCGACGAUACAGGGUGAUAGUCCCGUAGUUGACGACGUGUGUUCAGUGAAAUCGAGUAGGGCGGGACACGUGAUAUCCUGUCUGAAUAUGGGGGGACCAUCCUCCAAGGCUAAAUACUACUGACUGACCGAUAGUGAACCAGUACCGUGAGGGAAAGGCGAAAAGAACCCCUGUGAGGGGAGUGAAAUAGAACCUGAAACCGUGUACGUACAAGCAGUAGGAGCAGGCUUGUCCUGUGACUGCGUACCUUUUGUAUAAUGGGUCAGCGACUUAUAUUCAGUGGCAAGGUUAACCAUCUAGGGGAGCCGUAGGGAAACCGAGUCUUAACUGGGCGUUCAGUCUCUGGAUAUAGACCCGAAACCAGGUGAUCUAGCCAUGGGCAGGUUGAAGGUUGAGUAACAUCAACUGGAGGACCGAACCGACUAAUGUUGAAAAAUUAGCGGAUGACUUGUGGCUAGGGGUGAAAGGCCAAUCAAACCUGGAGAUAGCUGGUUCUCCCCGAAAGCUAUUUAGGUAGCGCCUCGGACGAAUACUACUGGGGGUAGAGCACUGUUAAGGCUAGGGGGUCAUCCCGACUUACCAACCCUUUGCAAACUCCGAAUACCAGUAAGUACUAUCCGGGAGACACACGGCGGGUGCUAACGUCCGUCGUGGAGAGGGAAACAACCCAGACCGCCAGCUAAGGUCCCAAAUUACUACUAAGUGGGAAACGAUGUGGGAAGGCUCAGACAGCCAGGAUGUUGGCUUAGAAGCAGCCAUCAUUUAAAGAAAGCGUAAUAGCUCACUGGUCGAGUCGGCCUGCGCGGAAGAUGUAACGGGGCUAAGUAGUAAACCGAAGCUGCGGCAAUGCACUUUAGUGCAUUGGGUAGGGGAGCGUUCUGUAAGCGGUUGAAGGUGUGUGGUAACGCAUGCUGGACGUAUCAGAAGUGCGAAUGCUGACAUGAGUAACGAUAAAGGGGGUGAAAAACCUCCUCGCCGGAAGACCAAGGGUUCCUGUCCAACGUUAAUCGGGGCAGGGUAAGUCGACCCCUAAGGCGAGGCCGAAAGGCGUAGUCGAUGGGAAACGGGUUAAUAUUCCCGUACUUCUUACAAUUGCGAUGGGGGGACGGAGAAGGCUAGGUGGGCCUGGCGACGGUUGUCCAGGUUCAAGUGCGUAGGCUGAGAAAUUAGGUAAAUCCGGUUUCUCUUAAGGCUGAGACACGACGUCGAGCAUCUACGGAUGUGAAGUCAUUGAUGCCAUGCUUCCAGGAAAAGCCUCUAAGCUUCAGAUUGUAAGGAAUCGUACCCCAAACCGACACAGGUGGUCGGGUAGAGAAUACCAAGGCGCUUGAGAGAACUCGGGUGAAGGAACUAGGCAAAAUGGUACCGUAACUUCGGGAGAAGGUACGCUCUCGACGGUGAAGUCCCUCGCGGAUGGAGCUAUUGAGAGUCGCAGAUACCAGGUGGCUGCAACUGUUUAUUAAAAACACAGCACUGUGCAAAAUCGCAAGAUGACGUAUACGGUGUGACGCCUGCCCGGUGCCGGAAGGUUAAUUGAUGGGGUUAGACUUCGGUCGAAGCUCUUGAUCGAAGCCCCGGUAAACGGCGGCCGUAACUAUAACGGUCCUAAGGUAGCGAAAUUCCUUGUCGGGUAAGUUCCGACCUGCACGAAUGGCGUAAUGAUGGCCACGCUGUCUCCACCCGAGACUCAGUGAAAUUGAAAUCGCUGUGAAGAUGCAGUGUACCCGCGGCUAGACGGAAAGACCCCGUGAACCUUUACUACAGCUUGGCACUGAACAUUGACCCUACAUGUGUAGGAUAGGUGGGAGGCUUUGAAGCGCAGUCGCUAGAUUGCGUGGAGCCGUCCUUGAAAUACCACCCUUGUAGUGUUGAUGUUCUAACGU
rnacentral:rRNA from 1 species